GUGGGGAAUAUUGCGCAAUGGGGGAAACCCUGACGCAGCGACGCCGUGUGAGGGAAGAAGGCUUUCGGGUCGUAAACCUCUGUCAGAAAGGAAGAACCUCCCAAGUCCGAAUAGGGCUUGGGACUGACGGUACUUUCAAAGGAAGCACCGGCUAACUCCGUGCCAGCAGCCGCGGUAAUACGGAGGGUGCAAGCGUUAAUCGGAAUCACUGGGCGUAACGCGCGCGUAGGCCGUCUUUUAAGUCGGACGUGAAAGCCCUCGGCUCAACAGGGGGACUGCGUUCGAUACUGCGAGGCUUGAGUCCUGGAGAGGGUGGCGGAAUUCCGGGUGUAGGAGUGAAAUCCGUAGAUAUCCGGAGGAACACCGGUGGCGAAGGCGGCCACCUGGACAGGUACUGACGCUGAGGCGCGAAAGCGUGGGGAGCAAACAGGAUUAGAAACCCUAGUAGUCC
rnacentral:rRNA from 1 species